UACGGGGGGGGGCAAGCGUUGUUCGGAAUUACUGGGCGUAAAGGGUUCGUAGGUGGCUCGCUAAGUCAGACGUGAAAUCCCUCAGCUUAACUGGGGAACUGCGUCUGAGACUGGUGAGCUUGAGUGCAGGAGAGGAACGCGGAAUUCCAGGUGUAGCGGUGAAAAUGCGUAGAUAUCUGGAGGAACACCGGUGGCGAAGGCGGCGUCUGGACUGCAACUGACACUGAGGAACGAAAGCCAGGGGAGCAAACGGG
rnacentral:rRNA from 1 species